AUAUCCAUUUCUUGUUUUUCCUUUGAUAGGUUUUAACAAGAUAGAACUCUAGAUCACUUGGGUCCAAAGACGCUAGAUUAUAAAAUCCUGAUGUGACUUGACACUAUACAAAUAGAAUAUGUCUUGUGAUUUAAUACUAAAAAAUAGAAUGACUUUUAAGUACAAACUUCAAUGAAUUGAUAAAGUGUAAGGAUAGUGUUUAAAGUCGCUUCAUGUGUAGAAGCUGAAUUACUUUAGUUUAUACACUGUAAUGUCGAUAUCACAUGUUGAUAUGACUUUAAUACUAGCUACUUGCAAUAAGUGGUCUGUUCUGCUUGUGAGUUAUAAUACUUUAGAGUUUGGACAUUAGAACAUUGUAAUUGCCUGACAGAGACUGUUAGGGCCUGUUUAUAUGGAAGCCGGGCUGGCCCACUUAGCGAGAUAGCCCGGUAAGGUAGAUAAGCAGGAUGAUUUCUCUUGUGUUUAUUUGAGAAAAUUUCAUCCCGCUUACCGGGACAAUUUUGUUGUUUUGACAUUGUUUUGACAGUUGUUAAAAAUAGCUUGCGGGAGUAUCGUUGAACUUUCAUCCUGGCAACCGGGCUAGCCUGCUUGUGAUUGUUUAUAUGGAGUAAUUUCCAUCCUGGUCUCGGCAACCGGGCCUGCCCGCUUGUCCAUAGAAACAAUAAUUUUUACUAUAAAAAUAAC